CCUACGGGGGGCUGCAGUGGGGAAUAUUGGACAAUGGGCGAAAGCCUGAUCCAGCCAUGCCGCGUGUGUGAAGAAGGCCUUCGGGUUGUAAAGCACUUUCAGUGGGGAAGAAAGCCUUGGGGCUAAUACCCUCGAGGAGGGACAUCACCCACAGAAGAAGCACCGGCUAACUCCGUGCCAGCAGCCGCGGUAAUACGGAGGGUGCGAGCGUUAAUCGGAAUUACUGGGCGUAAAGCGCGCGUAGGCGGUCUGAUAAGCCGGUUGUGAAAGCCCCGGGCUCAACCUGGGAACGGCAUCCGGAACUGUCAGGCUAGAGUGCAGGAGAGGAAGGUAGAAUUCCCGGUGUAGCGGUGAAAUGCGUAGAGAUCGGGAGGAAUACCAGUGGCGAAGGCGGCCUUCUGGACUGACACUGACGCUGAGGUGCGAAAGCGUGGGUAGCAAACAGGAUUAGAUACCCCUGUAGUC
rnacentral:rRNA from 1 species